rnacentral:tRNA from 1 species
GCAACGCUCGGCAACCACUGACCGCUCACUCGUAAUGAGCAGGUCAGCGGUUCGAGUCCGCUCGUCGGCU